ACCAAGUACGGGACCUUAUGAGACUGCGUG
rnacentral:piRNA from 1 species